UUGUUGUUAGUAUUGAAGCAAUUUUGGUGCAAACCAAAGGAUAACAAAGCAAAACAAUGAAAAUCACCCAGAGUUCCAUUACCCACACUGAACCAACUUGAAUAUAUUGGUUUAUUUUGGCUUUUUUCCAUAUGAAAUGUUAAAUUUUCUUGUACUCACGUGUAGAAUAUGAUAGUUUGCUCUUUCAUGUAACAUGUCUCCCAAUUUUUACAUACAUAAUUCUAGUUUCAGUAAGCAUUUUUAUAACUACACUCUUUUUCCUUUGUUAUUGUAUGUCUAGGUUAUUUCAACUUUGCACUGUUGCUUGUAACUACUAUGUGAUGAGGCAGUAGCUAGAUUAGUAUUUAGAACGUGAGCAUUCAAGUCAGGCAGACCUGGGCUUCACAACUUACUGUGCAAUUUCAAAGAGUUUAACUUUUUGCCUGUAGUGUUUUCUAAAAAUAGAAUUAUAUUAUAAAUUGGGUUUAUCAACUUGCUGAAAAUGGCAGAGGCCAGUGCGAUGAGAGUAGGGUGAUUAAGGGAGUAGGAAGUAAUGCAGGAAAGGGAGUUUGUAGGAUUUAGAUUUCACUGAAAGUGUACUGGACAGGUUGGGCAUAGUGGCUCAGGCCUGUAAUUGUGUCACUUUGGGAGGCUGAAGUGGAAAGAUCCCUUAAGCCCAGGAGUUCGAGCCAGCCUGGGCAACAUAGGGAAACCCUAUCUCUAUAAAAUAAAAAUAAAAAUAAUUAUUUUGAAAAAAAAGUUUACUGGACAGAGUAAGUUCAGGGUUGAGGAGUGACCUGAUUUGUUUUAGAAGGCUCAUUUGGCUGCCAUAUGGAGAUAGACUGCAAGGGACCAGGGGAGGAAGAUGCAAUCCAAUUAGGAGAGUAUUUAAGUAAUCUCUGUGAGAGAUGGUGUUAGUUUCGAUCAGGGUGUAAGUAGGGAAAAAUGAUUGGGUUCUGGAUAUAUUUUGAAGGGAGAAGUUAUAGGAUUCACUGAUUGAUGGGAUGUGGAAUUCAAGAGAAAGUGACUUAAAGAAUUUUGGUUUGGGCAGUUAAACAGAUACAGUUGCUACUUACCAAGAUAGAGACUGAAAGUUGGGGGAAACUAAAUAGAGUUCUGUUUCAGUCAUGUUACCUGUUGUGGAGUCUAACUAGUUGGAACAGGAGUAUGAAAGACUUAAUCUUCUGUUCUUGAGGUAUCAAUUUGUCCCUUCAUUUCUGUCAGUUUUUGCUACAUAUAUUCUGUUACUAGGUGCAUCUAUCCUUGUAAAUUGUUACAUCUUCCUUGUGGGUUUAUCCUUUUUUGCUUCUCUGCUCCUAGGGAUCAUAGUGCUGUGCUAUCUGUUGUCCAGCAUCUGACACAGUUGGUUUUAUAUUUUGUCUGGUUUUCUAGUUAUUAAGCAGGUUAAGUCUGGUUCCUGCUGUUCUAUAUAGCAGGAAGCAAAGGUUCUCUCAUGAAUUUUUAGCAUAAUAACAUAAGCGUGGAUUCCAAAAAUUCAUUACACAGAUCCUGGAAAUCUGUUUACUAUGUUUUAUACAUUCUGUGAAAGCUGGAGAAUAUAUAUUUGUUUUACUAUGUGUAUCGCAAAUAAAAUAUCAAUUUCAUGUGCCAGAGAAUUGAAUACAUUAUCAAAGGGUCAUUUCAUAACGUUAUAAUCACCAUCCAUCCUGUAAGUCCUUUGAAAUUUCUUCUUUUCUAUGGAUCUAACAUUGAUCAAUAACGAAUUCCUAAGCAUCUAUAUUAGUUAGCCCAGUGUUUCUCAAAGUCCACCGCAUGUAAAAAUCAUCUAGGGAAUCUUUCUAAAAUGUGGAUUCUGAUUUAGUAGGUCUGGGGUGAGGUCUUCCCUUUUGCAAUUCCAGCAAGGAAAAUCUCAGAGAUAUGUUGGAUUUCAUCACAUUUAUUCUAUGGCUUAAUGUUGUUUUAUUUUGAAUAUAUAAUAAGAGAGAUACCACAAAUCUUUAGCUAUUAAUAUUUAGGGAUGUUAAUGUCCUUAAUUCAUAUUGUCUCAAAUGUGAUUCAUUCCCUCUAUAGGUAUACUAAAACAGGCAUUCAUGCCUACAAAACCAUCUUCCUAACUUUCUUUCCUCUUUUUAGUCUCUUCCUGAACCAGUGACAGUGGUUCUCAAACAUUUUGGUCUGAGGACCCCUUUAUGGCCUUAAAAAUGAUCGAAGAGCUUUUAUUUAUGAAGGUAAUACCUGCUAAUACUUGUUGUAAUCUAUUAACAUUGAGAAAUGUAAAAAUUUUUAUUAAUUCACUUAAAAUAUCAAUAAACCCAUUAUUUGCUAAUAUAAAUUGCACUUUUUAAUGAAAAAUAACUUUAGUUUCUACUGUGUGCUUCUGCAUUUUGAAAAUAUGUCUAGGAUACGGUAUGUAUUUAGGAGAUAUUUUCUAAAUAAAUGCAUAUUCAUUUUUUAAAAUGGGACAAAUGUAGCAUAGACAUAUUUUUGCUAACACCCGAGACAGAUCCUGGCUACGUUGCCCAGGCUGGAGUGCAGUGGCGCGAUUUUGGCUCACUGCAACCUCUGCCUCCCAGGUUCAGGCAAUUCUCCUGCCUCAGCCUCCUGAGUAGCUGGGAUUACAGAGGCCUGCCACCAUGCCUGGCUAAUUUUUGUAUUUUUAGUAGAGAUGGGAUUUCACCAUGUUGGCCAGGGUGGUCUCAAACUCCUGACCUCAGGUGAUCCAGCCGCCUCGGCCUCCCAGAGUGUUGGGAUUACAAGCAUGAGCCAGCACGCCUGGCCUGAAAAUACAUUUUGAUGAACAAAAAAUUUUUAAUUUUUUUUUUUUUUUUUUUCCUGAGACAGAGCUUUGCUCUGUCACCCAGGCUGGAGUGCAAUGGCGUGAUCUUGCCUCACUGCAACCUAUGCCUAUGGAAAUCUCUUUUAUUUUUUCUAAGACCUUUUAUUAUGAAUUUAAUGUUGAAUUUUAUCAAAUGCUUUCUCUGCAUUUAUUAGAAUAAUUAUGAUUUUUCUCUAUCUGUUAUUAUAAUGGGUCAGAUUUAUAGAUUUUUCUCAUACUAAGCCUAUCCUUGUAUUCCUUGGAUAAAUCUAACUUGGUAAUGUUUACUUUUUUCAUAACUUUUAGCUAUUAAGUAGAUACCAAAUUUUCUUUCAAGGUCAAGUUUGAUAGUUAUAAAAAACUAGUGAUACUAAGUCAUAGAAAAUAUAUAAAAUGAAGAAGGUAUAGGUAACUAUAAUAUGAAGAAUGCAUUGGAAGUGUAAAUUUUAAAGGAGUUUGCUGAUUAAUAACUCUUUUGUUGUAACUUUUGUUCAAUGAUGUUUGACAAAUACUUUUUUUUUUUUUAAUUUGAGGCAGAGUCUCACUCUGUUGCCCAAACUGGAAUGCAGUGGCAUGAUCUCAGCUCACUGCAACCUCCGCCUGUUGGGCUCAGAGAUCUUCCCGCCCCAGCCUCCCGAGGAGCUGGAACUACAGCCUUGUGCCACCACACCCAGCAAAUUUUUGUAUUUUAUUGCAGAGAUGGCAUUUCACCAUGUUGCCCAGGCUGGUCUUGAACUACUGGACUUAAGCAAUCCGCCCACCUGGGCCUCCCAAAGUGCUGAGAUUACAGGCAUGAGCCACCGCGCCUGGCUGACAAAUACUUUUUAAAAAUAUCCAAGUUUCUGGAUUUUAUUCACCUCUACAAAAAUGAUUUAAGUCCUGUAGAAACAUGUGCCCACAAAUGACACAGUAAUCUCCAGCAAUGUGUUCAACAGCACGUUGAGCAUAAUUGAGCAUAACAGACAUUUUUAAAUUUGUUGUCUCAAAUUCCAUUUAGAUUUGGCUAUUGAUGCAAAAUUAGGGAGGUCAUUUUUCACUAGAUUACUUUCAAUGCUGGAAUCCAUACUUAAAAAAAAAAAAAGAGUGUGGCCAGCCUGCUUUCUGAUUGAUCAGUGCCCAUACCAAUGGUUAAAAUUUUGGAUAUCAUUCUUAAAUGUAUCAUACCACAUUGUUGGUAAUAUUUCGUGUGCUUAUUAGAAAGUAUUUUUCUGUUAAAUAUAUAUAUGUGUGUAUAUUUUUAAGUCUUCCGACAGACUUCUUUGACAUGUUAUGUCUUCAGGAAGCCAUAGGCUCUCAUGGGAAAUUGGUGUCUGGAAUUAUCACUGCAUUAAUGUAAUAAUAUAUAUUUACUAGAACAGUGGUUUGACAUAUGAAAAUCUUAAUUUAUACACCAAGCAUACUUGAAUGUAGACUUUUCCUUCUCUAUAGACCAGAAACCAUGGCAUUUAUUUGGAAUUGCUUGAUGUCACUUUAAAUUGAGACAUUCAAUCCAUUCCUCUUUUGAAUAUGAAAAACUUUUUC
rnacentral:lncRNA from 1 species